GGGCCCGCACAAGCGGUGGAGUAUGUGGUUUAAUUCGAUGCAACGCGAAGAACCUUACCAGGGUUUGACAUCCUGCGAAUCUCUUGGAAACGAGAGAGUGCCUUCGGGAGCGCAGUGACAGGUGGUGCAUGGCUGUCGUCAGCUCGUGUCGUGAGAUGUUGGGUUAAGUCCCGCAACGAGCGCAACCCCCAUUUCUAGUUGCCAGCGGUUCGGCCGGGGACUCUAGAGAAACUGCCAGCGUAAGCUGUGAGGAAGGUGGGGAUGACGUCAAAUCAUCACGGCCCUUACGACCAGGGCUACACACGUGCUACAAUGGUAGGUACAGAGGGCAGCUACACAGCGAUGUGAUGCGAAUCUCAAAAGCCUAUCGUAGUCCAGAUUGGAGUCUGCAACUCGACUCCAUGAAGUAGGAAUCGCUAGUAAUCG
rnacentral:rRNA from 1 species